rnacentral:rRNA from 1 species
UCCCAGACUCCUACGGGAGGCAGCAGUGAGGAAUAUUGGUCAAUGGGCGCGAGCCUGAACCAGCCAAGUCGCGUGAGGGAUGACGGCCCUACGGGUUGUAAACCUCUUUUGUCGGGGAGCAAAUUCCGCCACGUGUGGCGGAGUCGAGAGUACCCGAAGAAAAAGCAUCGGCUAACUCCGUGCCAGCAGCCGCGGUAAUACGGAGGAUCCGAGCGUUAUCCGGAUUUAUUGGGUUUAAAGGGAGCGUAGGUGGAUUGCUAAGUCAGUUGUGAAAGUUUGCGGCUCAACCGUAAAAUUGCAGUUGAAACUGGCAGUCUUGAGUACAGUAGAGGUGGGCGGAAUUCGUGGUGUAGCGGUGAAAUGCUUAGAUAUCACGAAGAACUCCGAUUGCGAAGGCAGCUCACUGGACUGCAACUGACACUGAGGCUCGAAAGUGUGGGUAUCAAACAGGAUUAGAUACCCUAGUAA